UUAAGUUAUUAAGGGCGCACGGUGGAUGCCUUGGCACUAGAAGCCGAUGAAGGACGUUACUAACGACGAUAUGCUUUGGGGAGCUGUAAGUAAGCUUUGAUCCAGAGAUUUCCGAAUGGGGAAACCCAGCAUGAGUUAUGUCAUGUUAUCGAUAUGUGAAUACAUAGCAUAUCAGAAGGCACACCCGGAGAACUGAAACAUCUUAGUACCCGGAGGAAGAGAAAGAAAAUUCGAUUCCCUUAGUAGCGGCGAGCGAAACGGGAAGAGCCCAAACCAAAAAGCUUGCUUGUUGGGGUUGUAGGACACUCUAUACGGAGUUACAAAGGACGACAUUAGACGAAUCAUCUGGAAAGAUGAAUCAAAGAAGGUAAUAAUCCUGUAGUCGAAAAUGUUGUCUCUCUUGAGUGGAUCCUGAGUACGACGGAGCACGUGAAAUUCCGUCGGAAUCUGGGAGGACCAUCUCCUAAGGCUAAAUACUCUCUAGUGACCGAUAGUGAACCAGUACCGUGAGGGAAAGGUGAAAAGCACCCCGGAAGGGGAGUGAAAUAGAACCUGAAACCGUGUGCUUACAAGUAGUCAGAGCCCGUUAAUGGGUGAUGGCGUGCCUUUUGUAGAAUGAACCGGCGAGUUACGAUCUGAUGCAAGGUUAAGCAGUAAAUGUGGAGCCGUAGCGAAAGCGAGUCUGAAUAGGGCGUUUAGUAUUUGGUCGUAGACCCGAAACCAGGUGAUCUACCCUUGGUCAGGUUGAAGUUCAGGUAACACUGAAUGGAGGACCGAACCGACUUACGUUGAAAAGUGAGCGGAUGAACUGAGGGUAGCGGAGAAAUUCCAAUCGAACCUGGAGAUAGCUGGUUCUCUCCGAAAUAGCUUUAGGGCUAGCCUCAAGUGAUGAUUAUUGGAGGUAGAGCACUGUUUGGACGAGGGGCCCCUCUCGGGUUACCGAAUUCAGACAAACUCCGAAUGCCAAUUAAUUUAACUUGGGAGUCAGAACAUGGGUGAUAAGGUCCGUGUUCGAAAGGGAAACAGCCCAGACCACCAGCUAAGGUCCCAAAAUAUAUGUUAAGUGGAAAAGGAUGUGGCGUUGCCCAGACAACUAGGAUGUUGGCUUAGAAGCAGCCAUCAUUUAAAGAGUGCGUAAUAGCUCACUAGUCGAGUGACACUGCGCCGAAAAUGUACCGGGGCUAAACAUAUUACCGAAGCUGUGGAUUGUCCUUUGGACAAUGGUAGGAGAGCGUUCUAAGGGCGUUGAAGCAUGAUCGUAAGGACAUGUGGAGCGCUUAGAAGUGAGAAUGCCGGUGUGAGUAGCGAAAGACGGGUGAGAAUCCCGUCCACCGAUUGACUAAGGUUUCCAGAGGAAGGCUCGUCCGCUCUGGGUUAGUCGGGUCCUAAGCUGAGGCCGACAGGCGUAGGCGAUGGAUAACAGGUUGAUAUUCCUGUACCACCUAUAAUCGUUUUAAUCGAUGGGGGGACGCAGUAGGAUAGGCGAAGCGUGCGAUUGGAUUGCACGUCUAAGCAGUAAGGCUGAGUAUUAGGCAAAUCCGGUACUCGUUAAGGCUGAGCUGUGAUGGGGAGAAGACAUUGAGUCUUCGAGUCGUUGAUUUCACACUGCCGAGAAAAGCCUCUAGAUAGAAAAUAGGUGCCCGUACCGCAAACCGACACAGGUAGUCAAGAUGAGAAUUCUAAGGUGAGCGAGCGAACUCUCGUUAAGGAACUCGGCAAAAUGACCCCGUAACUUCGGGAGAAGGGGUGCUCUUUAGGGUUAACGCCCAGAAGAGCCGCAGUGAAUAGGCCCAAGCGACUGUUUAUCAAAAACACAGGUCUCUGCUAAACCGUAAGGUGAUGUAUAGGGGCUGACGCCUGCCCGGUGCUGGAAGGUUAAGAGGAGUGGUUAGCUUCUGCGAAGCUACGAAUCGAAGCCCCAGUAAACGGCGGCCGUAACUAUAACGGUCCUAAGGUAGCGAAAUUCCUUGUCGGGUAAGUUCCGACCCGCACGAAAGGCGUAACGAUUUGGGCACUGUCUCAACGAGAGACUCGGUGAAAUCAUAGUACCUGUGAAGAUGCAGGUUACCCGCGACAGGACGGAAAGACCCCGUGGAGCUUUACUGUAGCCUGAUAUUGAAAUUCGGCACAGCUUGUACAGGAUAGGUAGGAGCCUUUGAAACGUGAGCGCUAGCUUACGUGGAGGCGCUGGUGGGAUACUACCCUAGCUGUGUUGGCUUUCUAACCCGCACCACUUAUCGUGGUGGGAGACAGUGUCAAGCGGGCAGUUUGACUGGGGCGGUCGCCUCCUAAAAGGUAACGGAGGCGCUCAAAGGUUCCCUCAGAAUGGUUGGAAAUCAUUCAUAGAGUGUAAAGGCAUAAGGGAGCUUGACUGCGAGACCUACAAGUCGAGCAGGGUCGAAAGACGGACUUAGUGAUCCGGUGGUUCCGCAUGGAAGGGCCAUCGCUCAACGGAUAAAAGCUACCCCGGGGAUAACAGGCUUAUCUCCCCCAAGAGUUCACAUCGACGGGGAGGUUUGGCACCUCGAUGUCGGCUCAUCGCAUCCUGGGGCUGUAGUCGGUCCCAAGGGUUGGGCUGUUCGCCCAUUAAAGCGGUACGCGAGCUGGGUUCAGAACGUCGUGAGACAGUUCGGUCCCUAUCCGUCGUGGGCGUAGGAAAUUUGAGAGGAGCUGUCCUUAGUACGAGAGGACCGGGAUGGACAUACCUCUGGUGUACCAGUUGUCGUGCCAACGGCAUAGCUGGGUAGCUAUGUGUGGACGGGAUAAGUGCUGAAAGCAUCUAAGCAUGAAGCCCCCCUCAAGAUGAGAUUUCCCAACUUCGGUUAUAAGAUCCCUCAAAGAUGAUGAGGUUAAUAGGUUCGAGGUGGAAGCAUGGUGACAUGUGGAGCUGACGAAUACUAAUCGAUCGAAGACUUAAUCAA
rnacentral:rRNA from 1 species